UCCUAGAUAUGCGUUAAAGAAACAAAGUCUAACACUUUCCCUCAAUUACUUCUGAGUUUGUAAUUAAAUCCAUAUGAGAAGAACUGUUUGUUGGAUUGGGGUGAAUAAAGUGCUAGUAAAACCAACUCUAAUUUCCUGGCCAGUCACUGUUUUCCUUCCCUUGUGCACCAGUGGCUAUUCCAGGGAUCACUGCCAGAUCUGUAGCCAUGUCCCCUAGGGCUUUGGUCUUGACACGUCUUUCAAAAUAAACAGGACAGAGGAUGUGGACAAGCAAAUCAGUUACACAGACCCAAGCAAAGUUUCGGAAGCACCACCAACCCCCUGUGGGUCUUGCUUCUUGGAACCUUGCUUUUACUAUAUACCAGGGGAUAAGGACAUGGUGAGGUAGAGCUUGAUUCCCACCCUCACUUAUUUUGGGAACUCUCUGACUAAACCCUGAGCUUGAUUAAAAUGCAAAUUCUGCUGUACACUACUUUAAAGUUAUCUUAAACAUUUCCAUUGCCUUAAUGAAGUUGAAAUCAAGCCUGUAGAUUGGCAUCUCAAAGGAAAAUGUGGGCACUACAAUAAAAAUGAUGUGGGUGAAUCAGUAGGUGUCAGAUUGCUGAGUCCAUAAUGAAUAAUUAUCUCAGCAUAAUUAUUCUAUGCGCUGUUUUUCAGGCAAGAUGUAAAAUUGAGGUCCUUUUGUUUCUUGGUAAUUAAAACCACAUCUUUUAUGUGAUUGCACCUUACAAAAGAGUCUCUCUUUUGGAGAAUAUGGCCUGCUAAUAGUGUCCAAAGCUAGAUAGGGAACUAUUAUACUGAUUAUUAGAAUUGUCUGUCCUAUAUAAUUUUCUCUUUCAGCAUCUCUGUUACUAAUUUUUGAAUUUUCAUUUCAGUUUAUAUAUGUAUUUUGCAGAAGAAACACUUAUGUUGUACUUUCUGUGAUACAUUUUUUAAAUUUUUUGUAUAUGAACAGGGUUUUGAUACUGCUCCUGGACCAGAUUUGACGUAAUUUUGAGUUCAAAAAUCAACUGCUGGAUUUCAAAAGCAACUGGAUGCAUUCAUGGGGUAAAAAUACAUGAAAAGUGUUAAACACAAAGACACAACUUCUGUUUCAGGAAAUCCUUGAGCUGUAAACUGGUAAAAAAUGGGAGAAUAUUCUUAAGAGUCCUGAAUGUUCCCUCUAUUCUUAAAUUUUUCCCUUGGUAUCUGUUGUUGACCACUAUCAGAACAAUAACUGGGGCUAUACAUACUUUUUAUUUUGUGCAGAAUGGCUAUGCUUAGUUUUCUGUGUAAUAUACUGUAAUGACUGAAAUGCCCCACCAUUCGGUUUUUCCCCAAGGCAAGAAUGCAAACCUGUUUUUCAAAAAAGUAUUGAAAAUUUAAGUAGAUUAUUUUCUCUUGAAGCAAUGUUACUUGGGAUAUAUUUUUCUAUAGAAAUAUUCCUGUUCAAUUUUAUUACCAAAAUGGGCAUCUUAUCAAAAUGUCUUGCACUUUCUGUAAGUUAUGGUGGUUUUUUGGACAUUAUUACUUGGCCUGCUCUUGGAGCUAUUAUGGGAAAUUGGAUGCAGAAAAUGGUUUCUCAUGUUCCAUCCAACUUCUUCAGCAUAUCCUCUUCUGCAUUUGCUAUGUGCCAAUGCAAUUAUUUUGAGUGGAAGAAUCACAAAAAACCAAAUUUAGAUGAGACAUAGCUAAAAGCAUUUUCAUGCAUCCAUCCCAGAGAUAACAGUUAAAGGAUACUUUUGCGAAGAGCAGUAAGUCUGUCUAAUUAAAACUGGAUUACUGACCUGCUGCCCAGAAUCAGAUUAAAGAAUUAACUUAGCACACAGUGGCAAACCGGCAUUUUUCUAAAACUUUUCCUGUCAUUAUUUAGUGAUUGCAACCAAUAAGGGCUGCUUUUGGCUUUACCUUUGACUGCCCACAGAUUACGCCUAUGCAGCCUGUCAAGAUGUGACUUGAGAUGAAUAUUUCUUUUUCUCUGGCAAAACUGGAGAAAAAAGGGAUAGAAGACAUGAAACAUCCAACUCUGAAGUCAGACACAAAAACUAAGAAGUCGGAGAUGAAAUCCAUCUGACGUCUUUCUAUCUUCAUAACUUGGAUAUGAUAGGAGAAUGUUCCUUUUGUGAAACAACAGUAGGAGGAAGACAAUAAAAUAAAGGGUGAAGAAGAUGGCUUGGUCAUUGUAAUGGCAACUAGGAAAUGAGAAGAAAACCACUAAUUACUCCAUGACUAGUGUUUGGAGAAAGAAAAUCCUCAUGCUUGAGCAAUACAAGCAGCAGAAUCUCGGGUGAAACUAUGUAACAUACUGCAUUUUCUUUGUGACAGUACAUGGUGUGGUGGCUUUAAACAAAACAGCAGUUAUUUAUCCUGGCUGCAAUUUGACUGAUCAAUGGUAAAUACAAUUUUGAGCUUAUCAAGAAGUCAUCAAGAUAGCUGUGUCUGGCUAGAUUAUGACUAAGAAGGAAACCAGAGGCACUGGAACUAAUGUUUCAGACUCUGUGGGAAAUAGCAGAGUAUGUAUACCCAGGUCCUGAAGGUCCUCAACCUGUUUGAACCAUGUUUCAGGAAGUGAAUAAUAAAAAAAGAAAUCUAUUAUAUAUAAUAUAAACUUUGAUACAUUUCCAUGUGUCUCCUGGGCUGGGUGUGGAACUGGAGAAUCAGCUCUGGCAGUCAGUUGUGGUCUGCAGUCAGCUACCUGUGGGACUCAGGUGUACCCUGAGCUGAUCAAACUGUGAGACCUGUGCUUGCCAUGAGACAUUAUCAAAAUAAAGAGAUAUGUCAUGUGCUUGGAGAGGUACAGAAUAAGGCAGUUCUCAAGCAGGAGGCCGAGGUAUCUCUUUCUCCUGUGUUUGCCAAGUGCAUUUACACUUGGAGUACUUGGCUGCCACUUGUGCAGACUUCCCUUGGAAACAUUUUCCAUCUGUCAUGCUUACAUGCAAAAUAACCCCUGGAGAUUCCACCCCCAUCCCUGAAAUGGAACCUCUCUUUGUCUCUUACAACUUUCAGCAAGGUUCUUAUUAAAGAGACAGAGAGGAGAGGAAAAAACACAGACAAGGUCCUUUCUAGCGUUUCAUAUUCAAGAGCUGUAGCCAACAAGAUCACAAAUGCCUGGAAUGGCAAAGAGAAAGGGAUUCAGUUUCACCUUGACUCCUUAUUUCCACUAGCAAUCCUCCCUUUAUCUGCAGCACUGUAAGCUGCAUCAGCUGCUUCAUCCAGGCCUACUAAGAAUUGAGUCUCUUUAUAUGUGGAGAGCUGUGAAAUAAAGUAGAGCUAGUAGUCCUUGACACUGCUUUCUCCUAUACUUAGAACUGCAUGUGAAAUACCAGCCACCUUCUUCACAAAAGUAGCAGAAAAUACUUUUCAUUAUGAUUUGUAACACCAUUCCCUCUUAUAAUACAUCACCCACAUCAACAGCAAAAUGCGAAAAAAAUCACUGAAAAGAUAUAUGAGAGGAUGGGCAUCCUAAACCUGAUCAGUGAUGAUGCAGGGGUGAUAUCCGUCUCUCUUAUGUCUUCUUUUUUCAAAACGGUAAUUAUUUUGCAAAUAGACCGCUCUCUUAUAUAAUGAUUGUGAUUUUCAGAAGACAAUCUUUGGACAGCACUUUAUAAUUUCUACAAGAUAUUUAAUGAAUAGACAUUAGGAAAACUAGAUCAUUUGAACAAAUGGGAUCUUUCUUUAAUGGAAUUUCCUUGACUUAAAUUUCUGCUUCACAUAUUAUGUAAAAGGAAGCUGCAUAUUCAGAAAAUUGAGUGGCAAGACCUGCUUAAAAGACUGGCUGUUGUGCCUAUCACUGACAGUGAAAGCCUGAAAUUUCUGUUGUAAUUUAGUUAUAUUUUGGUCAUAGGGACAUUUAAAACUACCUUUAAGUAUAAGUAUAUUGGAAAUAAGUAUAGCUCUUAUUUUUCAGAAGGAUUUUUUGGCUUCUCCCAUCUACUCUCCCCUCCCAGCUCUAUACAAGCCAUAUCACUCAAGGCACUGGAAACAACAGAAUAUGAGUGAAACGGGGCAAAACUAUCCUGUGAGCCAAAACACACAAAUGCUGAUCAUGCUCUUCGGCAGGCCUCUUAAAUGCGUUUUUACUGAAUUGAAUGCUAUCACCAAUUCAUUCUGUAAUGGAAGAAAAAGAAGGUGGAAGGUGGAACCUUGUGGAAAUCUCUCUACAUAUGUGUGCAUCAAGAUGGCAUUCGAUACGACUCUUUAUGGAUAGGACCAAAAUACAUCUCAAACUUUGCCGUGCUGAAUCUAGAAACAACAAGUUUGGGAGAGUUAACUUCCUCAGGAAAACAGGAAUGAAUUUAAGUGAAAAUGUGACAAAGGAGAAUGCAACCACAUGAGGGAAAAUGUCUCUGCCUCAGAGUUCACUGGGAAUAUCUUCAAAAGACUGGUCUCAGAAACACCAACAGGACACCAGCUGGUGCUGACUGCAUGUGACAACCUCUCCAAGAUGAGAUAGAGCAGUCACACAACGUAAAAGUCCCUGACGGUUAAAUAUGCAUUACCUAGUCCUUGUUGGCUUUCAGUCAUGCUUCUUUCUUUCUUCACUGGGUUAUUUUAGGUCUACAGGAACCUAUGUUUCCCUCUAAUCAGAUUCCUGUAGCCAGGUGCUCUGGAAGUCCUUGGAUUUCAAAAGAUGGAAGAGUGGAGGAAACACAGUCAGGGAACCUCUGACAGACAGACUGUGUAUUGACGCUGAAAAGACAAUAGUCUCAUGAACAUCCAGGACACAGAACAGCUGUGACUAAGCAGCCAGAGAAAAGCAGAGGGAAAAAAAUUCCUAGAAUACUCCUUUUAUCAUUCUUUUAUGCAUCUAGAAUUGUUGUUAUGAAUCCAAAGCUUAGAUUCAGAAAAACAGAGCCUACUCUUUGCAGCAUGUUGAGAACUAUUAACUAGCAGUGAGAAAGGUCAGUAAAAAAAAACCUCAGUGGUUGAAGGGACACUGAGAAACACUGGGAAAGAGAUCUACAGAUAUUCAGGUAAGUUCUACAUGUCCUAUUAAGUUUUGUUGCGUUGCUUGUAAUGGAGCAAUUUGCGGCAGAGAAGGAAUCGCUACUUUGCCACAAGAGCCUCGACUUAGUGCAGUCUGUAUCUGCCCAGUGGGGAGAUGUGACUGGAAACAAGAGACCUGUGACCACUGACACCACAGAUGUGCAUUUGAGCAGUGACUCUGAGGCUGAAGUUAAGACAUGAGCAUGCACGCUACUUAGGAACACCACAUAAACACAUGAAUGCAUGGAUUCCUAGGGGUUAAAGGAAUGAUAAAGGCUUAUUAAAGCUGUCUGGAUUGGUAGGAGUUGUAAUGUUCAAUGCAGGCAGCAUGAAUAAGUAUUAAUAUUUUAAAGUUCUGUGUGGUUUUAUGUUCACUUACUGUCAUCUAAGUUAAACUCUGACUGAAUGUUCUGGUGUUAGUACUUGUGUUGUCACUUUAAAUCAAAUUCUUCCUUCAAAUUCAAAAGUUUAUGAGACUUAAAGUAUCCUUACUGGAGUUUGUCUUUCGUUUACAAUAUAGUGCAAAUAUAGUUCAUGGGGCUACAAGACUGGAUCCAGUAAAAGUGUAUUUAUGUAAGUGAUUAUGUAUUUCUUCACUUAAACUUUGGUGACUGCAUGAUGCUUUUUUUGGAAAAUAGAAUAAAUGGUGUAGUGUAUUCAAAUAUUGUCUCCUAAUUUUUACGUGAGAAUUCAGCUUUUGAACUCCUAUCAACAUGUUUGAUGUUAAGAUAGACUUCACAUUCUUUACAAACAAGAGCUCCAUUGAUUCAGAUUAAACAGUGGUGAGUGGUGUGUCCUGCAUCUCAUUGUGAUCUUUGCAGAAAUAUGAAUGAAAUGGCAUUUGAAAAUUGUUGCAGAACCACAGCCAUGCACUUUUGAAUAUUUCAUUAAUUAAUUAUGAAUUUAAAAAAAAUACGUUGCUGUGCUUCUCAGAGUGGAAUUGUCCCCCAAGACAUCUCAGGAGGAUCAUCUCAGUGAGCAGCCUAAGCUCACAGAGUAAACAGAAGUUGUUCCUGUCUCCUAGGAUGAUUUCGCCCAAUUUUUUUUCUGGCCAGAACACUGUUGCUUUUUAUUUCUUCUGUUGAGAUUUUUCAAUCAUAUACAAGAGCAAUUUCUGGUAAUCAGGAGGCUGCAGCAGCUGGCUACAGCAGAUGCUUAAAAGUUGUCAAAAAAUCAAGGCCCAUUUUUGCAGAAGUGACAUUACCUAUCAGGACAGACACAAACUCUGGGGAAUCAGCAGUGUUCCUGGAAUUGUGGCACCUUGUGCACAGAAACACAGAACCAGGCAAAGCUUUUCUGACGGCACCAGAACCAGCAACAGCUUGCAGGUCUGUGGAACAUGCUCUGGAGAAGGGAUGCCAGCAACAACUAAUGGCCUUCGGGAAAUAAAAAGGGCAGCAAAAGCGAAGUAGGAAUUUAGAAAACUACUUCAAGUCUUAAAAAAUAUUGGCUUCAAUUUGAGAAUCUGGCUAAUCUAUUUCCUUGAAUUAUUUCUUCUGCUAUCACUUUGAGAAAUGCAAGGAGAAUGACUCAAUCCUCUAGCAUCUUACAUGCGUCUUAGUCAUUGUCAAUCACAAAAAAGUUACAGUCUGCUUCUCAUGUUGAAUUGAAACACUUCCUGAGAGAAUAGGCAUACUUGAUGCAAUGCUGAGUCACUCUCAGCUGCUCACCAUUAUUAGGUAUUCAGCACUGCUAAAUUGAUACAAUUAAUUUUCCUGAAGUCCCAUAGAAGUCUCUUUAUCUUCCUGACAUCCCGAUAUUAUUUCUAUUCUUUUUUAUUGUGGUAGUCAGUUUGUUGCUAAAACAUUAUUUCUUUUCUUUUUUAUUAUGGUAGUCAGUUUGUUGCUAAAACAAAGAAAACCCAGCUUUUGCUCUUGCUUUUAUAUUUGAAUCCCACAGAGCAAUUACUUUAUUCUCAUUUUUUUCCACUUAUGUGUGAAUCACUGCAUCUUUCAGAAUAUGAAUCUGUAGAACAUGAUGCUCUUAGGUGUAAAGUGAAAGGAUAAAACCUCUUAGCCAUCUCCUGAAAAGUCAUAGAAAAAGAAUCACUGGAGAGGCUGACCUACAGACCAGACAGUGUCCCUUAAACAAAAGUUUGGAUAUUUUCUGUGAAUUAUUGAGGCAGAUGUUACCAUUAAAGAUAGGACACACACAAGUAUAGACCAGAAUGCUUUCCAUUAAACAUUUUAUUCUUCAGUGCACUUGACCAACAUGAAGCGCUCAAAGGUUAUUACACUUACUCCCCUGAUUUGCACAAAACUACCUUUUGUUUUCUUUUUUAAUGCCUGUUUCAUAUGAUUCUUGGGCAUGGGUGAUUUAAAGCUAUAAAAGAACAGUUUGAGAAAAGCCAUGUUUAAAAAUGGCUCCGAACCCAUCCCUCUGGAGAAAAGCAUGGUCAUGGUAGGUAUUCUCUCCAGUGAGAAGAACUGGAUGAGGCAUGCACCUUGAUCCUGGAGUUCAAGAUACUGUGAUUCUGCCUGGUAAAAGCAGAAAGCAAGUUUCAGAAAGGAGUACUUGUGAUGACUUGUUGGAUCUCUCUUGGCUUAUCUCACCUGCCAGUCUGAUGUACCAGGAGAGACUGGUUUCUUGGAAAGCAGAUCCCAAAAGGUGGCUGGCCUCAUUUUCUGAGUCAGCAGGCAAUGUGCUCCAUAUACGUGUGCAGUGUAAGGAUCCCAGAUGUUAAAGUCCACCAGAGAAGGUUUCUUGGGGGAGAAGGUUUUAUGUUUUACACUCCAUGAACAAACUUUCCAGACCUUUCACCUGUAAAGCACAGUACUGUAUUUCAAGCUGAAGGCAAACAACUCCCCUUCUUCUCCCUCUGAAAAACAAUUCCUGUUAAACCAUGGAAAACUUGUUAAGUCCUUAACAAGGUAGACAAUUUGCACUCUCUCCUACUGCAUUUCAAUGAAUGAAACAACAUUCCUGCACUUUGUGAACUGCUAAUGGCAAAAAGAGGCUGUCCAGAUUUUAAGCCCCCUGAAAGACAACAGCAAUAAACUUUCCAAAAGAGAAAGGAACAUUACCUCUACUACUGCAAAAUUAUUUCUUCUCCUGAAACGUCACUUUCCUUUGCUCUCUCAGCCCAUUCACUCUCCUCAGCAUGCUUCCUUGACCCCCACUUCUGUGGCUUGAACCCUGCAAAUUUCAAGGUCUAGGCUAAAAUAAGGGUGGAGCUGUGUCACCAUGACUGAUGAAACAGAAACUGUAUUUUUCUUAUGGAUGAUGCAGAAUUUGUUUUUAAGAGUCUUUGUCUGUGUAGAAGCUUGACUCAACACAGGCAGUGAGCAUCAGUGAUUCCAAGAACAAGGGUAAUGUGUAUUGCAAAAAGGAUCCCAGAAAGGAUAGUGGUUUUAUUCUAUGUAGAUUGUCAGGAUCUGUUCACACCACCAGAGAAGUAAAUUGCAUGACAGCACCAAUCUUUUCAAGUAGAGCUUUUCCUUAACACCUUUUGUGUGGCUAAUGCUGUGCCAAGAACUCAUGUUUGUGUGGGACUUUCCCCAUGUCAUAUCAUAGAUUGCAGGGCCUUGGAUAUCUUCUCUUAAUUCACUUUGGAAGAUAAACAGGAGUGAAUAUCAAUAUAAGUAAUCUGAAUUGAAAAGAGCCUCAGCCUCAUCACUUUCCCUAGUGUAAGUAGACAGUUAUUGCUGUGAUUUCCUGUUUAUUAGAAAAAAUACUAAAAUGUUGGCAGUUUUGGAAAUUUUUUAUAACAAGCUUUGAACAGCAGAGGCAUUUAAAUAUUUUUAAUGAGAGUCCUGUCUUGAGCAUAUAAAAUUAACUGAAUUACACUUAAUUAGGUCAUCAGAACUUUCUAAUCUUUUUACGCUUUAGAGACAUAUUUAAAACACAGUAAAUGUGAGUCUGAAGUUUUUUUAGGAAAAUUGUUAAGGUCUGCAAACUUUUAGACAUAUCUGUACUGCACAAAACUUGAUCUUGAUCUCUUGAUUUUCUUGUUCUCAGCUCUCUGAUUUUCCCACUAAGGAAGGCUGUUGCUUUUGUAGAAGACUAAACUGUUUGUGAUAUGGAUGCACACUCAGUAGUUACCAAAGGAAGAAUGUCAGUAACUGUGGACUGUUUGCUUCAGGCAGGUGGAUUUUUACAACUGAAACUCUCCUACAGCACUAUGAUUUGUCUAUAUGAGGUAGUACAUGUCCUCAUAAAAAUUACAUAAGGCCCCCAAAAGUGCCCAUUGUGAUUCCAAGUUUCAUGUAAAUUGGAUCCUCAGUUGAUAUAAAUGUGCACACUUUCGUUCUAUGGCAAAAGGCUGUUAAUAUGUGUUGAGUUUUAAAAAAUUAAUUAAAAUAAUUGAAAUUCA